AAUGAAAUGCCUGAUAAAAGGAUUAUUUUGAUAGAAUAAAUUAUAUAUUAAUUUCAAUAAUAUUUUCAUUA
rnacentral:tRNA from 1 species